CCUCCUCCUGAUUUCUGCCCCUGUCUAGACUGCCGGCAGCAGCCGCCCCCGCCGCCCUGUCAUUCGUUACGAGCACAGCAGCACCGCAGCCUCCGCCAGCCCUUUCUUGGCCCGUCUCCAUCACGCCAGCGCCGGCUGCAGCGCAUUUGCUUGUUAUGAAUGGAGCAGGCGACUUGCUGAGGCUCCGUCUGGGCCGGCGAACUGCAGACUCCUCCUGCUGUUUGGCCCUCGCCCCCGCCGCCUCCUCCUCCUCCGAGUCCGAGUACUUGUCCCUGCUGCCUCCGUAGGAGAGGAGCCGGUUCCCGUUCACGGUCCGGUUCUUCCACCGCUGCUGCUCGCUCUCCUUUUCCUCCUCCUCUUCGUCGUCGUCCUCCUCCUCGCCGUCCCCGAGCUCCCUCACACCCUGAGUCGCCGUCGGUCUCCUGGCCGCCGCCCCCCACCAGGCGUUGGGCUUCCGCCGGGCCGCCUCCUCCGGGGGGGAGCUGCUGCUCACGCCGCAGGCGCCGUGGGGGGCGGCGGGCCUGAGGCCGCGGAAGAGGGGCGCAGCGCGCUCCCUCCGGCCGCCGGCCUGGCUCCGGGGGCUGCUCUCCGCGUCCGACUCGUCCGAGCUGAAGCCCAGCAGCACUUUGCCGCCCCCGGCGGGGGGUGCGGCGCGGCCCCGGCCGCCUCCGGCGGCAGCCCCGGGGAGGAAGGGGUGCUCGGCGCCGGCCAGCCGCCCUCCCGGGGCCGCCCGCCCGGAGCCGCCGCCUCCGCCCGGCGCCGCUCCGGCUCCCGUGUUAUUGUUGUUGCUGUUCCGGGUCUUGUUGGCGCCGCCGCCGCGGGCCCCGGCCCGCUCAUCCUCGCGCAGCUUCUUCAGCUUCUUCAGGUAGACGGGCCGGGUGCUCUCGGUGACCGGCCCCGGGGAGAAGCCGAAGCGCCUCAGCUCCGAGAAGAGCUCCUCGUCCGUGAGCUGCGCGGCCGUCGCCAUUUUCCGCUCCCCGCCGCCGCCGCCGCGGCGCUUCCGACCCACGCGCCGCGCCGCGCUCCCCGCCGGAACUGACGCGCCGCACUCGGCUGUGGCCGAGACCCGCC
rnacentral:lncRNA from 1 species